GGCAAGAUGGCCGAGCGGUCUAAGGCGUUGGAUUCAAGCGAAAGCUUCUACCAGAACACUGGAAAUCCCAAUACUCCCAGAGUGCGUGGGUUCGAAUCCCACUCUUGUCA